rnacentral:rRNA from 1 species
UACGUAGGGACCAAGCGUUGUUCGGAUUUCCUGGGCGUAAAGGGCGCGUAGGCGGCAAUUCAAGUCAUCUGUGAAAUCUCCGGGCUUAACUCGGAACGGUCAGAUGAUACUGCUUUGCUAGAGUGCGGAAGGGGCAAUCGGAAUUCUCGGUGUAGCGGUGAAAUGCGUAGAUAUCGAGAGGAACACCAGAGGUGAAGACGGGUUGCUGGGCCGACACUGACGCUGAAGCGCGAAAGCCAGGGGAGCAAACGGG